rnacentral:rRNA from 1 species
GACGAACGCUGGCGGCGUGCCUAAUACAUGCAAGUCGAGCGAAGUUUUUCUGGUGCUUGCCCUAGAAACACUUAGCGGCGAACGGGUGAGUAACACGUAAAGAACCUGCCUCAUAGACUGGGACAACUAUUGGAAACGAUAGCUAAUACCGGAUAACAGUAUUUCUCGCAUGAGAGAUAUUUAAAAGUUGGUUAUGCUAACACUAUGAGAUGGCUUUGCGGUGCAUUAGCUAGUUGGUGGGGUAAAGGCCCACCAAGGCGACGAUGCAUAGCCGACCUGAGAGGGUGAUCGGCCACACUGGGACUGAGACACGGCCCAGACUCCUACGGGAGGCAGCAGUAGGGAAUCUUCCGCAAUGGGCGAAAGCCUGACGGAGCAACGCCGCGUGAGUGAAGAAGGAUUUCGGUUCGUAAAGCUCUGUUGUUAGGGAAGAAUGGAUAUGUAGUAACUAUACAUGUAAGAGACGGUACCUAACCAGAAAGCCACGGCUAACUACGUG